GACGAACGCUGGCGGCGUGCUUAACACAUGCGAGUCGAGCGGGAAACUUCGGUUUCCAGCGGCGGACGGGUGAGUAACACGUGGGCAACCUGCCUCACAAUGAGGGAUAGCCCUCCGAAAGGAGGAUUAAUACCUCAUAACACAAGAGAAACGCAUGUUUCUCUUGCCAAAGAAUUUCGUUGUGAGAUGGGCCCGCGGCGCAUUAGCUUGUUGGUGAGGUAACGGCUCACCAAGGCUUCGAUGCGUAGCCGACCUGAGAGGGUGAUCGGCCACAUUGGAACUGAGACACGGUCCAGACUCCUACGGGAGGCAGCAGUGGGGAAUAUUGCACAAUGGAGGAAACUCUGAUGCAGCAACGCCGCGUGAGUGAUGAAGGUCUUCGGAUUGUAAAGCUCUGUCUUCUGGGACGAUAAUGACGGUACCAGAGGAGGAAGCCACGGCUAACUACGUGCCAGCCGCCGCAGUAAAAC
rnacentral:rRNA from 1 species